GGGGAAUCUUGCACAAUGGGGGAAACCCUGAUGCAGCGACGCCGCGUGAGCGAUGAAGCCCUUCGGGGUGUAAAGCUCUUUCGACGGGAACGAUAAUGACGGUACCCGGAGAAGAAGCUGCGGCUAACUACGUGCCAGCAGCCGCGGUAAUACGUAGGCAGCAAGCGUUGUUCGGAGUUACUGGGCGUAAAGAGUGCGUAGGCGGUCCCGUAAGUUUGUUGUGAAAUCUCCCGGCUUAACUGGGAGGGUGCGGCGAAAACUGCGGGGCUGGAGUGUGGGAGAGGUAAGCGGAAUUCCUGGUGUAGCGGUGAAAUGCGUAGAUAUCAGGAGGAACACCGGCGGUGUAGACGGCUUACUGGACCAUGACUGACGCUGAGGCACGAAAGCGUGGGGAGCAAAC
rnacentral:rRNA from 1 species